rnacentral:rRNA from 1 species
UGGGGAAUAUUGCACAAUGGGCGCAAGCCUGAUGCAGCCAUGCCGCGUGUAUGAAGAAGGCCUUCGGGUUGUAAAGUACUUUCAGCGGGGAGGAAGGGAGUAAAGUUAAUACCUUCGCUCAUUGACGUUACCCGCAGAAGAAGCACCGGCUAACUCCGUGCCAGCAGCCGCGGUAAUACGGAGGGUGCAAGCGUUAAUCGGAAUUACUGGGCGUAAAGCGCACGCAGGCGGUUUGUUAAGUCAGAUGUGAAAUCCCCGGGCUUAACCCGGGAAUUGCAUCUGAUACUGGUCAGCUAGAGUCUUGUAGAGGGGGGUAGAAUUCCAUGUGUAGCGGUGAAAUGCGUAGAGAUGUGGAGGAAUACCGGUGGCGAAGGCGGCCCCCUGGACAAAGACUGACGCUCAGGUGCGAAAGCGUGGGGAGCAAACAGG